rnacentral:lncRNA from 1 species
CAGGCUGGCACUGCUGUGUCCCCUGGUGUCACACCUGUGUCACACCUGUGUCACACCUGUCCUGUGUCACACCUGUGUCACACCUGUGUCACACCUGUCCUGUGUCACACCUGUGUCACACCUGUCCUGUGUCACACCUGUGUCACACCUGUCCUGUGUCACACCUGUGUCACACCUGUGUGACAGGCUGGCACUGCUGGGUACCCCCAGUGUGUCCUGUGUCACACCUGUCCCAUGUCACACCUGUCCCAUGUCACACCUGUCCCAUUCACAUCUCCCAGGUGUGGAACACUGGUGGCUCUGUGUCACACCUGUGUCACACCUGUGUCACACCUGUCCUGUCCCUGCAGAUCUCCCAGGUGUGGAACACGCCGCUGGUGGCUCUGUCACACCUGUGUCACACCUGUCCUGUGUCACACCUGUCCCCACCUGUCCCACAGAUCUCCCAGGUGUGGAACACGCCGCUGGUGGCUGUGUCACACCUGUGUCACACCUGUCCUGUGUCACAGCUGUCCCCACCUGUGUGUUCCAGAUCUCUCAGGUGUGGAACACACCGCUGGUGGCUCUGUCACACCUGUCCCGUGUCACACCUGUCCUGUGUCACACCUGUGUCACAGCUGUGUCACACCUGUGUCACACCUGUCCCCACCUGUCCCCACAGAUCUCUCAGGUGUGGAACACGCCACUGGUGGUUGUGUCACACCUGUCCUGUGUCACCCCUGUGUCACACCCGUGUCACAGCUGUCCCCACCUGUCCCCCAGAUCUCUCAGGUGUGGAACACGCCGCUGGUGGCUGUGUCACACCUGUCCUGUGUCACACCUGUGUCACAGCUGUCCCCACCUGUCCCCCAGAUCUCUCAGAUCUCCCAGGUGUGGAACACGCCGCUGGUGCAGCUGCUGCACAGCCUGCGGGCGCUGGGGCUGGCUGAGGACGGGCAGCAGGUGCGCUCGGUGGAGCAGGAGGUGCUGUGGCGGCUGCGGCGCCUGUCCCUGCGGCACCUGGCUCACCUGGCCGAGCACCUGGCGGGGCAGGGCC